CAAAGAAAGGUUCCGCCUUUGCAUAGGCUUAUGCUUUAGAGAUUACAUGUGGAAGAAUCUUGAGUUUACAGUCUUAGAAAUCACAUAUGAAAAGGGUUUCGGUUUACAGCUUCAGGAAUCACAAAUGAAAGGGUUCCCGUUUACAGUUUUAGGACUCACAUGUGAAAAGAUUUCGGUUUACAGUUACAGGAAUCACAAAUGAAAGGGUUCCAGUUUACAGUUUUAAGACUCACGUGUGAAAAGGUCUCUGUUUACAGUUUCAGGAAUCACAAAUGAAAGGGUUCCGGUUUACAGUUUUAGG